rnacentral:lncRNA from 1 species
CCAAUUCACGACGAGUCUUCCUCAUUUCUAGAGGCUCCAUGUCGUCGCUAGCUUCUUGUUCGUAUGACGAUCCUAAUGCUUCGCCCGUUUCUACUUGCUUCGUGGCGUGGGAUGAUCCCAGGGUGACCUCUCGAUCUUGUUCCAUAGGGUGGGAUGACCCUUCUACUUGCUCCGUAGGUUGGGACUGCAUUGCUUCGUUUUGCUUGUGCAGAGAACUCAUCGCAGAAACCUAUAUAAUUUAUGUAUAAAAUUUAAAUUUAUAUAUCCUGGGGUAUAUACACUAAUAUAUACACUAAUACAUACACAAAGAGAUUAAAUUUACAUACACUAAUAAACUAAUACAUACACAA